rnacentral:rRNA from 1 species
AGUGAACGCUGGCGGUAGGCCUAACACAUGCAAGUCGAACGGCAGCACAGUAAGAGCUUGCUCUUACGGGUGGCGAGUGGCGGACGGGUGAGGAAUACAUCGGAAUCUACUUUUUCGUGGGGGAUAACGUAGGGAAACUUACGCUAAUACCGCAUACGACCUACGGGUGAAAGCAGGGGAUCUUCUGACCUUGCGCGAUUGAAUGAGCCGAUGUCGGAUUAGCUAGUUGGCGGGGUAAAGGCCCACCAAGGCGACGAUCCGUAGCUGGUCUGAGAGGAUGAUCAGCCACACUGGAACUGAGACACGGUCCAGACUCCUACGGGAGGCAGCAGUGGGGAAUAUUGGACAAUGGGCGCAAGCCUGAUCCAGCCAUACCGCGUGGGUGAAGAAGGCCCUCGGGUUGUAAAGCCCUUUUGUUGGGAAAGAAAAGCAGCAGGUUAAUACCCCGCUGUUCUGACGGUACCCAAAGAAUAAGCACCGGCUAACUUCGUG